rnacentral:rRNA from 1 species
GACGAACGCUGGCGGCGCGCUUAACACAUGCAAGUCGAACGGAAAGGCCUGCUUUCCCUUGUGGAUUGCGGGUACUCGAGUGGCGAACGGGUGAGUAACACGUGAGUUAUCUGCCCCCAACUUGGGUAUAAGCCUGGGAAACUGGGUCUAAUUCCCGAUAGGACUGCAGGGUGGUGCCUGUGGUGGAAAACGAUUUUCUAGUGGUUGGGGAUGAGCUCGCGGCCUAUCAGCUUGUUGGUGGGGUAAUGGCCUACCAAGGCGGCGACGGGUAGCCGGCCUGGGAGGGUGGACGGCCACAUUGGGACUGAGAUACGGCCCAGACUCCUACGGGAGGCAGCAGGGGGGAAUAUUGCACAAUGGGCGGAAGCCUGAUGCAGCGACGCCGCGUGGGGGAUGACGGCCUUCGGGUUGUAAACUCCUUUCGACCGCGAGGAAGCCACCUGGUUGGAAGGGUGGUGACGGUAGUGGUAGAAGAAGCACCGGCUAACUACGUG